CGACAGUGGCAGCUACUUCUGCAGGGCCUCAAACAUCCACCUUCAAAGGUUCCUCACAUCCAGGAGAGUGACUAUAUCUGUGCUUGUACCUCCAUCAGUGAAGCUGUGGCCACAGGCCUUGACGGUGCCUGUGGGAGCUCGGGUGGUGUUGGAGUGCCAAGUAUCCGGCCACCCUCCACCUUCCAUGAGCUGGGUUAAAAAAGGCUACUCCAAGCAGACGGGGGGCAAAGUAGCACUGGGGCUGAGAAAUGCCACUCUCUCCAUUCAGUCAGCCAGGAGCUUUGAUGAGGGGGCUUAUGUGUGCGAGGCCUCCAACAGUCUGGGACAAAGCAGAAGCACAGCACUGCUUAGAGUCACAGUGAGCCCAGUCAUAGUAACCUUCAUGGACCAGUUGAGCUGCGUGAUUGGUAUUUCAGUAUCUCUACCCUGCAGAGCAGUUGGUGUUCAUCCCAUUACAUACACUUGGUCCAGGGGCGGAGCACAGAUAAAGUCCUCCAUCAACACCUCAGAAGAUGGAACCUUAAACAUUCCCACUGUGCAACACUCAGAUUCAGGUGAGUAUUACUGUACAGCAGAGAACCGAGCUGGACGGCAGCAGAGACGCACCAUUCUCUCUAUCAGAGAUGAAGAUCAUCCAGAGGAUAGAAAUGUGCAGACACAACAAAUGUUGUCUACCGCCACUAACACAGGAUCCGGUUCCAACAGAACAUCUACGUUUCCAACAUUUCUGAGGAAAGUUGAGCUUGCAGUCUCACCAAACCAUCUUCUCCAUCAUCACCUGAAUCCUCCAACAUCCAGUCCAUCUCUACUAAUGCAGCCUCCAAUUCUACCUCCCCCUCCUCGACCAAACUUUCAGGCAGUUGGUCUUCUUUCACAACAAGCAGCAAACAGUCAUCCAAAUUCAAACCUUCGUGCAAAAGUAACAAGUUUGAGAUCAGUUAAUCACAGGGAAGAUUUGGGUCCAACAAACCUUCUUCCCAACAGAGAGUCUCCGAUAUUAAAUCAAUCUCAGCGAGAGAGUGGUAAUAAAUCUUAUAUAGAAGUUGAAAAUCCAGGUUCUCCGGUCAGUCGGGUGACGAAUGUGUCUCCCUUGCUUAGAACAUCUCGCUUUCUUAAGAUUAAUUCCUUCACAAAGACGGCAACAAUAAGCCCUGGAACAGAAACUAUGAUGAAAUAUCCAGGAACGGAAGUGUCUUCACAAGCCUCACAGAUAUACCUUGGCACGCCAUCAUUCCAGAUAGAAAGUCAUUUGUCAACUUAUCCAACUUUAUCCCAACCAUCCUACGCUCCUCCUCAAGAAUACUUUCCGCCAAGUUAUAGUCCCACAGUCCCAAAUUAUUUGCCUUUUACCCAACCAAUGACUUCUACAGUCACCAAACUUCAACCAAUCACAUUAAACAAUCGAUUCUCAACUAGUGUCAAAGUUACUCAAAGUCAAUCACAUGUAUCUCCAACCCAAUACUCACAACUGUCACCAACCACUGCUGCGCCAGAUCUAAACUCCAACUUGUCAAUAUUUAAUCUGACGAAUGAACUAAACCUGACCCAGCCAGGUUCCCCCUUUCCGUCAACCAAAACAUCCAAUGGUACAGAGCCAACAAGUUGGCAGAUGAAGAACACCUCACACUCCCCUGUGACCAGCAAUAACCCGAGAGGUACUCAAAAGUCCCCUCCAUGGCUACCUGUGCUGGAGAAACACGACAUCCCUAUUGUUGUGGGAGUUGGAGUUUCUUUAGCCUUCAUCUUCAUCACAGUCCUUUUUUAUUCAGUAGUCCAGAAGAAUGAACCUGUACCGAACUGCAGAGCAGUGCAAAGAAACGUAGGUGCCCCAACACGUCACGCAGAUCAUCGAGCUGCAGGACGAACAUAUGAAAAUAGAGCUUUUGAAGAUGAUGACUGUGUGACAGUGAUCGAGCAAAGUCCUAACAUGUCAGACACCCGAGCUCGCCCUCCUGGGCCCAGUUUGGUCACGGUGCAGAUGGAACCCACUUUUGAGAACUGUCAAGGGAACACACAGCGUACUAUGGAUGAGCACUCGGUCACUGUAGAAACGUAUCCAGAGCCCAUUGAGGAAACAAAGAUCGACCCUGGUUUGGACGAGGAGAAGGAAGGCAGUUUGUCCCAGCCCAGUAUCCAGCUGCACUGUGCAGAAGACUGGACCAGCACCAGGGACGACAAUCCCAGUCCGUGCCACGAUGCUCUGCCUCCCCCGUUCUCCCUACCCUCUCGUUCUCCGUCCCUUUCUUCCCCCUCCAGACACAGGGACAGCCUGCACUCAUCUUUAACCCUUCACAGUGCUGAACCCUGCGUAGCCCCCAUCCAUCACAGCCUCAGUAUCUCCCGUGGCAACCCCCCAUUACUGCUGUCCCACAACGUCUCUCUGGGCCUUACAACGGUAGCUGUAGAUGUCCAUUUCUACCCAUCUGCCACUGUUUCAAUGGCAGUGGAAACCAGUACGCACAUCAAUUCAGUCUCAAAUUCCACUUCAGUGACUGCUCCUCUGUUUGGUCCAUCAGUGAACAGCCAGGAGGAAGACCAGUCAACGUCCAAGUACCAGCCCAAGUAGACACAGACUGUUUUUCUACAAAUAUGUGAUGUAAGAGUUCUUUAUGAAUUUUUGCAGCGACUAUGAAAUAAAACAUCUGUUUUGGAAAAUAAACUAUUUGGG
rnacentral:lncRNA from 1 species